rnacentral:rRNA from 1 species
UACGUAGGGUGCGAGCGUUGUCCGGAAUUAUUGGGCGUAAAGGGCUCGUAGGCGGUCUGUCGCGUCGGGAGUGAAAACUCAGGGCUUAACCCUGAGCCUGCUUCCGAUACGGGCAGACUAGAGGUAUACAGGGGAGGACGGAAUUCCUGGUGUAGCGGUGGAAUGCGCAGAUAUCAGGAGGAACACCGGUGGCGAAGGCGGUUCUCUGGGCAUUACCUGACGCUGAGGAGCGAAAGUGUGGGGAGCGAGCAGG